GAUGAACGCUGGCGGCGUGCCUAAUACAUGCAAGUCGAGCGAAUGGAUUAAGAGCUUGCUCUUAUGAAGUUAGCGGCGGACGGGUGAGUAACACGUGGGUAACCUGCCCAUAAGACUGGGAUAACUCCGGGAAACCGGGGCUAAUACCGGAUAACAUUUUGAACCGCAUGGUUCGAAAUUGUAAGGCGGCUUCGGCUGUCACUUAUGGAUGGACCCGCGUCGCAUUAGCUAGUUGGUGAGGUAACGGCUCACCAAGGCAACGAUGCGUAGCCGGCCGGGGAGGGUGAUCGGCCACACUGGGACUGGGACACGGCCCAGACGCCUACGGGAGGCAGCAGUAGGGAAUCUUCCGCAAUGGUCGAAAGUCUGACGGAGCAACGCCGCGUGAGUGAUGAAGGCUUUCGGGUCGUAAAACUCUGUUGUUAGGGAAGAACAAGUGCUAGUUGAAUAAGCUGGCACCUUGACGGUACCUAACCAGAAAGCCACGGCUAACUACGUGCCAGCCGCCGCUGUAA
rnacentral:rRNA from 1 species